CUGAUUUCACUCGUGUCCUCACGUACCCAUCCUUCCCGUUGCUAUAAAGCCCUCCCUCCUCGCCGCUUCCAAAGCAGCAGAAAGCAAUCGAGAGGAGAACCAGCAGCCUCCAAUAAGAGCCAGCCAGAGAAACUAAUAAAACUCUCACCGCCGCCAUCCGAGAGAACAAGCCAACCGACCCCGUCCCCAAGGCAAUCCGUCGCCGACGUACCACCGCCACCGCAGGAGCGAGAUGGAGAUGAAGAGGAUCCUCUUCGCCGUCCUCGUCGUCAUCGCCGCCUCGGCCACCGCAGUGCUGGCCUCCACCGAGGCCGCCGCCGCGGGCGCCCCAACUGCCUCCGAGUCGUCCGCCGAGGCUCCCGCUGGCGCUGGCGCUGGCGCUGCCGCUGGCGCCGCCGCCGCGGGGCCCUCCGCCAGCAGCGGCGCGCCCGCCCUCGCCGCCGCGCCCGCCGCGCUCCUCUUCUCCCUCCUCGCCUACUACCUCCACUAAGCGUGUGCGUGCUUACGUACGCGCGCAUGGACGACGAUGGAUCCGUCCACCGUUGCCAUUGCAGUUGCCUCGCUCGUUCUUGGUGACUGUUGCUGCGGUGGUCGACUUGGAAGACGUCACCUGCACCGCUGUUUCCAUAUAUUAUUAUUGAUGUGAUCUGAUAUGAAUAUAUAUGCAUGGUGACGGGUUGUGUUAAUUACAUAGACGUGAUUUAAUUUAUCUAUUUGUGUCAAGUCGUUCUGUAAUCAUGCGAUGAAAUAUAUGAUUUGGUUUUCCAUUUGUUUGAAAUGCACAUUGUGUCCUCCUCUCCAUCUUUUACCCAAGUCCAUUCGACUUUCCCUAACUAUAGCAUGGAUUUAUCUUUCUUAACUAUAAAAUUAGUUUUUUAGAUUCUUCCAAUUAGAAAACCUCCCUGUUGGAGACUUGUUCUCAAAUUCUAAGAAUUAAGAACAAGGCAACAUAAAAAGUGUUAAGUGUUAGGGUCCUUCGUCCUUCAGAGCAUUAUAUCCCUUUGGGAAAUAAUGAGUCUCGGACGAAAGUUAUGAGAGACAUACCUUCGUAAACAUAACAAGUAAUGACGAAGGACUCACAUAAAGCAUGAAAUAUGAUAUAAGCAUCAUCAAGGAAUCAUUUCUAUUUUAUUAACAUGGAAAAACAGAAAUGAUCCCAAAUUACAAAUGUACCUUCGAUCCUGAGAGAAGGUGGAAAGUACGAGCGUGACGCCAAAAGCAAAAUGACAAAUCAGCGUGAACAGUACGGGAGUACUGUUCAUCUAUUUAUAGACGCGGGACGCAGCCCACGUAAAAUUACAUCCAUGUCCAUUACAUUUGUUAACGGUUUAUGGAGAUCUAUUGAGGACCCCGAAGUCUUUUCAUCUUAAGGUCGGUUCCCCCUUGUGCCAUCGCGCCGAAGCUUCCCUGCGUACAGCUUCGGCUGCCCCCGACCUUCGUCUGGUUCAGCCUUCGUCCUGGUCGUGCUCCAUAUCCAUAAUUCUGAAUCCGAAAAUACCUGUUCAUAUAAUUCACUUGGAAAACAUUGUCAAAUCAUGUUUUUGAGGACCUUCGGAGGACGAAGGCCCCCAACAGUAGCCCCUCGCAAUAUUAAUUUGUAAAUAAUAAAUUCAGAUUGCGAUAUGGACGAAGGCCUUGAGCCGAAGGUCCGAAAAAACACCUUCCCUUUGCUAGGAUAGCAACAUUCACUGACAAGCGGGGCCUUUUAACUUUUAACGCCCUAGGCGUAUAAAUAAGAACACAUCGCGAAUUCAUUUGGUACACACGCCUGCCUUUUGCUUCGGCCCACUAAAAAUUUUUAGCUCUUGCUCAUUGAGAUUUGCUGGUCUUUUUGAUUUCGAAGCUUCGGCCUCGGGAACAAAUUUUUAGUGUUUCCGAAGAUGUCUGAAGACAAGAAGAUCCCUGCUGAGACGAAGCUGAGUCUCGAGGAGGAGAAGAAUCUGGGGUUCCUGAUAGCGAUGGCAGAGACUAAUACAGAGAAAAUCACGAAGGAGAUUCUCGAAGGUUUGUCCGAAGAUACUGAUGACAGCGAUAGCUAUGAUGUAGAAAGUGAUGGGGAAGAGGCCGAAGAUCGACCGUGGCGACCAAGUCACUCAGUUUUUGGGAAAACAACCAUCAAGCAGAGUCACAUUGAUAAUAUGAGAGGGCGAUACUUCCGAGACAUAUCUAUUGUGAGAGCUGAUGCCGGGGAAAAGACUUCUCCCACCCCUGAAGAAGAUGAAGUUGUGAUUUUCCGAAGCCUCCUCAAGGCUGGGCUUCGAUUCCCCCUGAGCAAUUUUGUUGUUGAGGUACUGAAAACAUUCCAAAUCUACCUUCAUCAACUCACUCCCGAAGCUAUUAUAAGAAUGGGGAUUUUUGUCUGGGCUGUGAGAAGCCAAGGUUUGGAACCAAACGCUAAAAGCUUCUGCAACAUACACGAGUUAUUGUACGAGACGAAGCCCUGGGGAAAGGAGCAAUACCACAACAACUUUGGGUGCUACAGCUUCGGCGCCCGCUCCGGGUCAAGCUACCCUGUGCCAACCUUUCGGAAGAGGUGGCCCGGAGCCUGGAUGUCUGAAUGGUUUUAUGUGAAAAAUGAUCUAACAGCGCAAAAUAAUGUCAAAAGUAUCAUUAUGUACCCAAUUUGGCAACGCUUCGGACUUCGAAGGCCGAAGGUUGAAAUGGAUGAGGCAGCCGAAGAAUGCCAAAGAGCCUUCGGCGUAGUCUGCUCCUUCAUUGGGACAAGGGACUUGGUCCAGGAGCACAUUGCCUUCAGGAUAUGGCCACUUGCGGAAAAGUGGGAAAUGCCGAAAGAAACCAUCAAAGAGUCCGACGAAGGCGGACUAGUCAGAUUAAAAUACACAUUCAAAUAUGCAGAUAAAUUUAUUGAACCUGAUGAUGACUGGCUGAAAAGCAUUGAAACAUUAAGUGAUGAAUUACUUGGGGCAUUCUCGAAGGCUGAAAAUACUGCAUUAUCAGCAGCCUUCGGAGGCCGAAAAAAGAAGAGAUUGAACCGAGUGUUUGAUGCAAUCGGGUUCUUCUACCCUGAUUAUUGUUAUCCCGUCCGAAGGCAAAAAAGGAAAAACAUAACAUCUGAAAAAGAAGAAGCUGGAACUGCUCCUAGCGAGCUAGACCCAAAAGGAAAAAGGUUGAAGGUCUUCACACACCGACCACGCCAUAUUGAACCAGCUUCGGUGCCUGAGUAUACUGGAGGAACUCCUUCGGCCGCUGAAGCUGAACAGCCACUCUUAUUGCCAGAAAUUGCAGAGAUGGCCGAAGCACCAUCGACAGAAAAAAUGGAAGAAGCGAAAAAUCUGACUAAGGAAAAAACCUCAGAAACUUUAAGUCCUGCAAUAAAUAUUGAAGCAGCAAAAAUCCAAAAGGCUCCAACGGUGACCCCAAAAAGGAAAAGAAUGGUAAAUGUACUAGAUGUCUUGGAGACAAUUAAGUCUUCAAGCACAACUCCAAAAAAGAGUGUUGAAAUUGCUGAAGCUUCCUCUGAAGCUCCGACACAACAAACUGAAGCUGAAGCUGGGCCUUCAGAGCCCUUCAGGGAAAAAACUUUGGAAACCGAAGCGAUAAAAAUACCAGAACCAAUUUUAAUUGAAGAGACUGACACUGCCAUCCCCGAAGCGCCUGCCAGCAUGUGUGAUUACAUUAUACGACAUGCUUCGGGGAAAAAGCUAUCUGAUGAAGAAAUUCAUGAAGCUAAUCAUUAUGCAAAGGAGCUAAAAUAUCCAAAGGGGGCAAUAAUAUUCAAUGGGACAAAUGAAGAUGAUUUUUUAUACUGCCUACCGGAUAAUAAGGAACUAUCUGUCUGUCGAGAAAUGGCCAGGGGCAUAGGCUUCCCGAAGCUCGAAGUUGGACUAAGCGCCAUGACGAAAGAGGAUCUCGCAGACAGCCUUGCGUACAACAGCUUGAAGGUACCGGAGUUAAACGCUUGAAAAAACCCCCCAUUAUUUUUACGCACAUCAUUCCUUUUUCCUUAUUUGAAUUCUUUUUCGUAUAGGGCCUGAUCCUAAGCAACGCGCUAAGAGCGCAGAAGAGCGCCGAAGAUGAAAGUUAUGAAAUUGCGUUUAAUAAUUUACGCUCCGAAGUUAUCAAGCUGAGAAAUGAAGCUUUGGAAAAAGAUAAAAUUCUGCUUACAUUGGUGGAUAAAGUGAAAAAAGACGAGGCCGCUUCAAAGGCCCAAUCCGAAGCUCAAAAACGCGAGAUUGAAGAUCUUCGGAAACAACUGGCUAGAGCUAAAGAGGAGCGCGCGCUUGAGGAAACGAAUCGUGAACUUAGUGAUUUUAUGGUCAACAAAUUGGAAUCAAGAGUUAAGGAGCUUCGCACAUCGCAGAGGAAAUGCUAUGUUAAAUCUAUAGAAUGCGUGAAUAAAAUUAAAAACAGCUUUGCUAGCGUCGGCGCCUUUUCCAGCGAAGAAAAUUUUUCUCGAGGCAAUCCCGAAGAUCCGCUGGAAUGGAUUAGCCACGAAGCAGAGGCCUUCGAAGAAAUUCUAAACAGCCGCGGCGACAUAUGCGCUUUUUCAGGCGCUAGAGGAAUUGCUUCUGUGUUAGAGAAGAAGGGUUGCGGGCACGUAAAACUUUUAGCUCAGUCCGAAGCUACCUUAUGCUCCGAAGAUAUCAAGGACCCCUCGGCCGAAGCAAGCGUGGUUGCUGGCAAAUUUUUUACUGAUAUCUGGAACGACGGCGGCCGAGGAAUGGCACAAGAAAUUAUCGAAAGGAGCGAAAAAGGCAUCCACGAAGCUAGGAAAGUGGCAGAGACUGCCGAAAAGAGUAGGGAGCCCGAAAGACAGUUAGGUACCAACUAGUCGUUCUUGUUGCGCUGUAAUUUUCAUUUUAAACUUUGCUCGCGAUUUGUAAAAGUACUGAAGAAGUGUUCUCUACGCUCAGAAGCUGUUGGGCGAUCUCCCCACACAAAAGGGGAUGAAGAAAUUAAUCAGAUGGCCGAAGCUAUCAUGGACAAGGUCGUUGACCAACUUCUGAAUGAAGCCGCCGAAGCAGUAUUGAGGGAAGAUUAGGUGCUAUUUGGAAAAAACAUUUAAAGUGUAAUCUAUGCAACACUUUGUAGAUUUGAAUGUAAUAUACAAGUCUUCUUUCAUUAUUGAAUUCUUUACGAUGCAUGAAACUUUAAAUACAUACCACUUUUGAGCCUUCGGCGAAAAAACACCUUCCCUUCUUUUCAUGCGUCGUGAAGAAGAUAGCCUUCGUCAAAAUUAUUCUGAUGAAUGACAUCGAUGCCUCGUGAAAACAUUUUCCGAAGCUAUUUUCCGAAGCUAUGCAACUUUGAUAUUAAUCUGAUAAAGCUCGCCCAUGUUUCGUGAAAAUAUUCCCCGAAACUGUAUUCCGAAGCUAUAUAAUUUCAAUGUUACUUUUUCAAAGCAUCCCUUCGAAGGUUUAGAGUGUCCCCUUCUCCUGCCAAAUGCGAUAUGAUGUAUGAUGCUUAUGCUAUGCAAAAUGAUGUGAUGAUGUUAUGUUAUGCAUGUGGCAUUUGUUUCGAAGAUUCACAUAAAAUAUAUUCGUAAGCUCUGCAUUCCCUUAGGAACGUCUUUGGAGCUUCUUCGUCUUUUACUUAGACGGCAUCAGCGUUGACUUUUCGCUGUAAGCCUCCCUUAGGAGCUUCUUCGUCUUUUACUUAGACGGUAUCAGCGUUGACUUUUCGCUGUAGGCUCUGCAUUCCUUUAGGAACGACUUCUGAGCAGAAAACUUACGCUGCGCUCCCUUUGGAACGACUUUUUGUGACUUUGUAAACUUACUCUGCGUUCCUUAGAACGACUUUUUGUUAUUCCGAAGGAUUUUUAGUCCGAAGGUCCUUCUUGGUAACGGAAGAAAUUUUAGGCUUCGGCAACUUAGGCCUGUGAAUCAAAUAAAUUUUUCUCGUGGAAACGACGAAAUUAUUACAUGGAAACUAACAAUGUUUUUUGCUUCACAGAAAAUAAAAUUGAAUAGAAAAGACUGCUAUCAAAGGUAGGAUAUGUCAAUAAAUGUGCUUCGACUCUGGCACAGUGCUGUUGACUGUGCGAGCUUCGGACUGUUCUCUGAAGUCCCUCUGCUGUGGAGCGUAUUGACUCCCUUCUGGCUGUUGACCUUGCUGCAAUGGAGGUGGAGGUGGAGGCUGCUGCCAGGAAGCUUGAGGUUGACUUGCCGAAGCUACAGAAGCCGCAGGGUGGUUGUCUAUGUAUUGUGGGACAUAAGGCGGAUGAAACGAAGCAGUAUGCAAAACCUGCUUCGACUGAGCUUGUUGAGAUGCAGCUUCGGCUAGUUCCUUUUGCUUCUGGAUUGUAACAUGGCACGUCCUAGUGGUGUGGCCCUUGCCCUCUCCACAGAAUAGGCAAAACAGUCUCCUUGGCUGAUCUCCGAAUCUUCCGCCGAAGCCCCUGGCGCCUCUGCCUCUUGGAGCUGGUGGCCGAAAGGAAGUUUGUUGUUGCCCCGAAGCCUGUGAGGAGCACUGCGGUCUGUUUUGCUGACUCCCCUUAUCAUCAUUCUGAGUGCUGUGAAUGGAACGGACAUGCCUCGGGUAGUAUCUUCCUCCGAAGCCCCUGGUCAUCUCAGAAAAUCUGAAGGCCUCCUCCCUUCUUUGGCGAAAGUCAUUGUCGGCACGAAUGUACUCAUCCAUCUUUUGGAGCAAUUUCUCCAAGGUCUGAGGAGGCUUCCGAGCAAAGUAUUGAGCUGCAGGUCCAGGACGAAGCCCCUUGAUCAUGGCUUCGACAACGAUUUCAUUGGGCACCGUUGGUGCCUGCGCCCUCAAUCGUAAGAACCUUCGGACAUAAGCCUGAAGGUAUUCUUCGUGAUCCUGAAUACACUGGAAGAGGGCUUGAGCUGUAACCGGCUUCGUUUGAAAUCCUUGAAAGCUGGUCAGUAACAUAUCCUUCAGCUUCUGCCAUGAAGUGAUUGUUCCUGGCCGAAGAGAGGAAUACCAGGUCUGAGCAACAUUCCUGACGGCCAUGACGAAAGACUUCGCCAUGACUGCAGCGUUGCCCCCGUACGAAGACACUGUUGCUUCGUAGCUCAUCAAGAAUUGCUUCGGGUCGGAGUGGCCGUCAAACAUGGGGAGCUGGGGUGGCUUAUAGGAUGGAGGCCAAGGAGUAGCCUGCAGCUCAGCAGAUAGAGGAGAAGCAUCAUCAAAAACAAAAUUUCCCUGAUGGAAAUUAUCAUACCAGUCGUCUUCGUUGACGAAGCCCUCCUGAUGAAGGUCUUUCUGAUGAGGCCUUCUGUUCUGCUCAUCGUGAGUGAGAUGGCGAACUUCCUCAGAAGCUUCGUCAAUUUGUCUUUGCAACUCAGCUAGGCGGGCCAUCUUCUCCUUCUUCCUCUGCACUUGUUGAUGUAGCAUCUCCAUCUCUCUGAUUUCUUGGUCCAGCUCUUCUUCCUCAAGCGUCGGGCUAACAGCUUUUCUCUUCUGGCUUCUGGCCUCCCGAAGAGAGACGGUCUCCUGGUUGUGGUCCAGCGGUUGUAGUGCUGCAGCCCCAGCCGCUGAAGCUUUCUUCGGCGCCAUAGCGAAGGUCUAUAGCUUCCGAAGGUGUUCGCGAAGACUCGAAGUGGAAGUGAGUUCACCGGAGGUGGGCGCCAAUGUUGGAGACUUGUUCUCAAAUUCUAAGAAUUAAGAACAAGGCAACAUAAAAAGUGUUAAGUGUUAGGGUCCUUCGUCCUUCGGAGCAUUAUAUCCCUUUGGGAAAUAAUGAGUCUCGGACGAAAGUUAUGAGAGACAUACCUUCGUAAACAUAACAAGUAAUGACGAAGGACUCACAUAAAGCAUGAAAUAUGAUAUAAGCAUCAUCAAGGAAUCAUUUCUAUUUUAUUAACAUGGAAAAACAGAAAUGAUCCCAAAUUACAAAUGUACCUUCGAUCCUGAGAGAAGGUGGAAAGUACGAGCGUGACGCCAAAAGCAAAAUGACAAAUCAGCGUGAACAGUACGGGAGUACUGUUCAUCUAUUUAUAGACGCGGGACGCAGCCCACGUAAAAUUACAUCCAUGUCCAUUACAUUUGUUAACGGUUUAUGGAGAUCUAUUGAGGACCCCGAAGUCUUUUCAUCUUAAGGUCGGUUCCCCCUUGUGCCAUCGCGCCGAAGCUUCCCUGCGUACAGCUUCGGCUGCCCCCGACCUUCGUCUGGUUCAGCCUUCGUCCUGGUCGUGCUCCAUAUCCAUAAUUCUGAAUCCGAAAAUACCUGUUCAUAUAAUUCACUUGGAAAACAUUGUCAAAUCAUGUUUUUGAGGACCUUCGGAGGACGAAGGCCCCCAACACUCCCUAAACAGUUCUAAGACAUUAGUUCCUUAAAAAAAACUCCCCAAUCUUCGAUUAGGUUGUUAAAUAUUUUUAAAUUAUGCUAACUCAAUGGUAAACUCAUCAUUCCUGACACGGGUGCAAACUGGAUGGCAGACAGUUAUUUUUACGUUGUGACUAAUGAGCGAAAUAGGCUACUUGAAAUGCGAACAAAAUAUAGAGAUAUUUAGAAACUUGAUAUAUUUGGGGUCUCAUUGAACAAACUAUUAAAGCAUGAUUUUUUUGCUAUUACCAUCCUAAAUUAAUUUUAGGGAUAAAUUAGACUUUCGCCAUAAUUCAGAUAGUUCAUUGUAGAGAUAUUUCUCAAAAAGUAAUAUAAUUUUUCUAGAGUAAAUACACAUUAAAAAAGUAAAAUCCGAUUUAUUAUCAUCAAUUUUGUUUUAAAAAUAUGAUACUCAUUAAAAUCAUGUUCCACCUUUUUGUUCAUUUCACAUAAUUAUUUACAUCGUAUAUGGUCUUCUAAAAUCCAAAACUAGGCCAAACACGAAAUUUGGAAAGCACAUGAUUCAACAUACACAUGAUUUAGAUUAUGGCACCUAGUUCAAAAAAUAGAGAGAGCGUGAUUUUAUAAAGAAACAUGAAACCAAUUUCAUAUUUUUCCAUGUUGGAAUAUUUUUUAUGAUUUUUUCUAGUAUUAGAUCACAUUUAUUUUUAAAUACAUAUUUGUUCGAGAAAACUGUUUGAAUAAUAUUUGAAAACUUAUUUGUACAAAUUUUAGAAAGACGAUUUUAGGAAAAAAAAAUGGCAUGUUCCAUAUUUUUACAGUUAAAACAAAUUUAUAUGCAAUAUUGAAUUCAAUUUUAGUAUUUUAAAUGAAUAUUUAUUGUAGUAAAUAUUUGUAUAUUUUUCUUAAAAAAUAAUUCGAAUUUUUUAUAACUUCUAAUUAAUAUUUCUAAACAUCGUGAAAAGUGUGGUUUACCUCUCAUGGGUGAGUUGACGCCGUGUAGGAUGGUUGAUGUGGUGUGACGUCAAAAUCACUAUAAACCCGUUCAUAGAGGUAAAUCAAACGGUUUUAAUAGCCUGAGAAGUCUAUGUAGCAUCCUACUUUUACUACAUAAAAUUUUCGUCAUUUAAACUAACAUAGAUAAGUUAUGCAUGAAUAUAUCAUAAUUUAUUCUUCUUAAUUGUCAAGAUACAAAUAAUCAUAAGAACUUCACUGAUAUAGUGUUAUAUACAUGCUAACUUGCAUUAUCUUUUUAUUUAUGGGUAUCAUUCCAUAUGAUCUAAUCUAUAACUCUUUCACAUGAGAAACAUUUUAGAUUUUCUAGAAGUUAUUUCAUUUUAUUUGGGCAUUUUUUUAGAGGCUCUUACCAACCUUAUCAUAAGCUCUAAAUUAUUUGUUUGAGCCCAUCAUGGAGAAAAUGUUUUCAAAAAUUUUCUGGAUUUUUCUACAGGAUUUAGAAUAACUUUUGGGUUCUAAAUAUGAUUUCACUAUUUUAGAAUUAUUUUUAUUCUGAAAAUAAUUAGUUUCAAAAAUAAUAAAAUAACUCAUUUUACACCAACACAAAUCCCCCUCAAUAUAUAUUACUCGAUAUUGGUACAACUCUUUUCCGCACCCACCACUUGUAUCUCCCUAUAUGUGAAACCAAAGUUCAUAAGAUAGACAACUCCAGCGAGCGAUCCAUUUGAUAUUGUUUAUCUAUCAUGAAAACUUAAAUCAAAGUUUCUAUGAUUUUUGUCUAAUAUCAAAUCAAUUUUUAUUAUUUUUAAAUAUAUAUUUGAUCUAGAAAAUUGUUUGAAUAGUUUUUGAAAACUUAUUUGCGCAAAAAUUUAGGAAGAUGAUUUAAGAAAAAAUAUGGCAUGUUCCAUAUUAUCUAAGCUAAAUUAAUUUUUAUUAGAUGUUUGUCUUUCUAAAUAUAUAAUUAUUCUUGAAAAAUAUUUGGUAAAUUUUGAUUUUUUUACAGUUUUUAUAACAAAAUUUAUUCGAAAGCCUAAUUUGCCUCCCUCCUGAUCCUGGCUGACGCACGCUAGGACGAUUAUGGGCGUGACAUGAUAUCAACCAAUUUAUUUACUAUAUUAACCGCGGGAGCAUAGAAGCUCAUCCGAGGUGGCCACGCCAAUUCUUUCGAUGGCAAUCGUACGAUCUUUAUUCAACGGCUAGGUAAAGCGAGCAGGUCCCUCAGCAGCAGCACGACAACCAGAGAAAUCUUCGUCGCUCUGAAGCAGGUCUCUCAACAUCAGCACGACGGGAUAGAUCCAGAUAAAUCUUCAUCACUCUCAUGAUCCCAUCCCUCCCCACAUUUCACUGUCCACCGCAAAUAGCCGAACGGAAUCCCAGAUCACUCAGAAAUUGCCACCGAAAAGGGAACAAAGCGAGCCAGCCCUCGCCAAAUUGCCAACCAAGCCUGCUCCCCCGCCUAGGCCAGUAUGAUAAUAGAGAAAAAGCAAGCAGAAGGGAUAUGAUGGGCGAGUGAGAUGCUUCGUUCACGUUCCAGCGAUGGUUGAAGCUGGUGGAGCUGGUGCCAUUGGCGAUGCCUAGACGCGAGCGUGUGCAACCCGGUUGACGUCAGACGAGCCAAGCACGCUGGAUGGGCCUAAGGCGUUCGGCGAAAUGCCUCCCGAAGAGCGCACUGUGUGCCAGACCGGCAUAGCUUCUUCGUUUCGUUGCACAUUAAUCUGAUCUUUGAUGCAAUUAGGAGAGAUUUUAUUAUCCAAGAUUCUGAAGGUCAGACAUUUGCUUGUACCUUUCCAGUAUGAAUGGAUAUUCUCGAAGAUGGAAAGUAUGAGUUAAUAUUCAUCGACACAUAUACAUACAUACGUUUACAUGAAUCUGAUUUUAUUAGAUUCUCUAAGCAAGAGGAUUAUGAUUCUAUUUUGUUCUUAGCCCUAGAAAGUUUGUGAUUUUUAUUAAUAUUGUGGACCUUACAGCCUUUGCACAUGGUCAGUCUCUUGUGUAUGCCCUGUUGGUUUUAAUUCAGUAUUGACAGAUGCAUGGAUUGCUACUGAUUGUUCGAUAAAUGACUCUAAAAUGUGAAAAAUGAGGAAGUGAAACUUUAUCCAAUAGAUGGCAUCCGUAGAUAUCUCUACAAGCUUUCACGUUUGAAAUAGGAAGUUUCAAACAUGAGUGUGUGCUUCUGCUUGCUUAAUGGAUUAUACCUGUACUGCCUUUGUUUUGAAUGAAAGUUGCUUAUUAUGGUUUUCGGUCCUGCGGAACACAAUGGCGCUUCACUCUAAUCUAAAUAGUAUCCAUAUGUACGUACAUAUGGCAACCAGACAUGAGACAACAGUCAUGUUCAUGAAAUAUUCAUGUUUUCUUUAUAGAAAUGAGUGUUUCUUGAAUGGAUGAUUGGUGUGAUAAUACUUAUUGUUAUUUCUUUGAUUUUUUGUUGAGAUGCAGAAGCAAAUGGCCAUCUCUAGAGUGAGAAUAUGUAUGGAAACAAGACCCGGAAAUAAUUGUAAACACUUACAUACGGACGUACUAAAUCAACGUGUACCAUCAUAUUAUGAUGUGCUAGUCUGCUGAGAUUGUCAUUGAACAACAGUAAAUGCUGACUUACCUUAGCUAUCUGAGUCCCCCUGCCACCGCACACACACAUUUUUUUCUUAUAUACGCGCGCAAGGCGCGCGUCAAUUACUAGUAUUUAUUUACAUACCUGCACCACCACGCCCAACCAGAGUGCCACGUCGCUCUUUUCAACAAUUACUGUCAGAUCCAUUUUGAAUGGUGUAUUUAUUCCUCUGGACUUAAGGCAUGUUUGGUUCGCUGUCUAACUUGUCACACUUUGCCUAACUUUUCUGCCUAAGGUUAGGGCCAUAUUUAGAUCCCUGUCUAACUUGCCACAUUUUGUCUAACUUUUCUGCCUAAUGUUAGUUCUUCAAUUUGAACGACUAACCUUAGGCAAAGUGUGGCGUAUAUAGCCACGAACCAAACAAGCUCUAAUUCAGACGACUAACCUUAGGCAAAGUAUGACACAGUUAGCCACGAACCAAACAGGCCUUUAAGCUAUCCCGUGUCCUCAGGGCUUAGGCGACCUCGAGGGGACUCUUACGUUUUCUAGAACCGUGUGGGGAGCAAGACAACCGUCGUUUUUUUGGCGAUUAGCUACCACCGACUACCAUACGCUGUCGCUGCAUGAGGUGAGGAUAUCGCGCCGCCUCGCUAAUUUGUCAAAGAUUUCUAUUGCACUCCUUUUUUUCAUCCUCUCGAGUGCCCUCACCCUCGUACGUUGCAAGUGGCGGUUGACAGCUAGGGUUACUUAUUUGCCUGCCUUUUUGGGUGUUUUGAAGCUGUUGGGUGGAGUCCUAGCUAAGCCUUGGCUUGGCGAGGCUUCGGCCUCCUGUUGCUCGUCGACGCUUCUAAUCCUCCUGAUCGUCCUUGUGGGUUCCUAUCCGUCUGAAGGCGUCCGGUUACCUAAGAGCUCUCUCCUUUCGAUCCUGUCUAAUCUCUCUUCUUUUUUCUUGCCCUGAGUCUAGCCUCCCCCUUUUAUAGGCUGGGAGAAGUGUCGGCUAGCGGUGGCUUCCCUAGUAAGGAGCCGCAAGGCAAGGGUAAAACUAGAGUUUUACCCUAGGUGGAGCCACGCGUAAUUAUGGAGAUCGGGACUGCCUCACUAUCCCGUAUUUACCGUGGCAGACGACUAGGGGGCGGUGAUGGUUGUCACACCCGGUUUUGGAAGGUAAACCGAAUGCGAACCAUGUACGUGCCAAGAUCAGAACUCACGUACACAGCGAUUACAUAAUUGGACAUCAUCACACAAUGCUCAAAUUAAAUAGCGGAAAUGUACUUUAAUUACAUCAAGAUGUCCUAGACAUCCAUAGAGUCUAAUACAUAUCCAUAGGGUUCAACAAUAAUAUCAAAGUGCGGAGUAACGAAACAUAGAAGAUAAGCCUACACAGGCAGCUCACUGAGAGUUUGCCACUAAAGUAAACUAGAACUCGUCGUAGUCCUAGAACUCCUCAAAGUCCUCCAUGUUACCAACAUCUCCUCAUGAGCACUGAGUACAGUGGGGACAACCUAGGGUGGGGUGGUUUGUAAAGCAAGGGCGAGUACACAUCAACGUACUUAGCAAAUGUCCCGUUUGGUUAAAGUGGACUAGUUGUAUGUGGAGUUAAGGUUAAGCAGUUGCUUUUAGUUGGUCAAGUUUUAUUAUAUAAGUAGAGCCGAAUUUUAGUAAUAAACCCAGUUAUUACCCAGAAAGUACUCCCUCCAAGAGGAAAUACUAGAGAUCAGAAUUAUAAUCAUCAUUGUUAAUCAUCAUCAUAAAAGUAAUCAAAAGUUCUUCUAAUCAAAGAGGAUCCCAAGGUUGCCCUUAACCGUGAGCACGGCUGACAUACCAGUUUCUAACACUCUGCAGAGGUUGCACACUUUACCCACAAGCCGUGAUUCCCAUUAUGCUCGGGGUUCUAGCCUCCCCAUUGAUCACUACCAAGGUGACCUAGCACGGUCUCACUGCGUAGCCUUUACAAAGAUUUCCCAGAGGUCAUAGUCGCUCGUUAGGUUUCUCCAGUUUGAUAAACACAGUACAUCUCCCCAAAGGAAGGGUGACUAACAAAACCAAAUCAAAGAACCUCUGCAACUAGCCUCGGCAGAGCAAGUACUGUGCCCGGACCCCCAUUGACGGCCCUACGGCGAAGCCAACUACUCCUCUGGUUCAUCUAAUUAAUCAGCUAAGGGGGUCCCAUUCCACCCUCAUGGUUGCACUGUUAUCCCGGGUUGUCACUCCCCAAACAG
rnacentral:lncRNA from 1 species